UCUACUCUAUGUUUACUGAAUUUACUCCAUGUUUACUGAAUUUUCUCCACUACUCUAUGUUUACUGAACCACUAGUUUCUGAACCACUUCACUGAAUGUGAGAUGUACCACUGAAUUUCACUUCUGCUAGUACUCCAAGAAGACUAUGCCAACGGCAACCAAGUGGGCUUUGUUGAGUUCGUGCAAUGUUCCAAUUGAGGGAGGAGGUGGUAGACUGUUUGCAGAUGUGGUUGUCUUGAUGAGAUUCAGUUUGAUCAGACCAUCCCAAUGUCACUUUGCAAUUGUUCUGCUUCUUUUCUAAGCAUGGAGCUGACAAUUAUCUGGGAUGAUUGCAUUGCAACUGCCAUUUCCUGUGGAUAGCUUGUACGCCGACCCCGAGCGCAAGGCUUAGGAUGUCUUGGGCCUGUACCAUGGAUUAGGCCGCACACUCUUCAGUCCAGCCAGUAGAGAAAUAAUUCAGGAGGUGAAGACCAGGAGUUUUGUGACCCUCCAUUUAAAACAGGGCAAGCCACUUCAUCCACUUGCUUGAUGGCAAUUGCAAGGCCAUGGCUUCCAACUUGCAGA